AUCUGAAGCUGAAAAGUUCUCGGUAAUUCUGCGUUUUUUUCUCCACUUCCUUAAACCAACAUUGUUCAGUAACGUUGUUCACAUUCAGCAGGAGAGUCUCUGUGAUGACGCUCGGCUCAAACAGCGUAUCCCCCGGUGAUCUACUCAAUCCCUGUCCUCCCAUUGGCUGUAUCAGGUGUCAAUCAUAGAAAACAUGAACCCCCUGGACUGUUCCAGUAUGUUUCCAAAAGUCCAAAAUUUUCUGAAACAUUCCGGAAUCUUACUGAUCUUUUAGAAUGUCUUUGAUGUUAUAGAAUGUUAUUGAUCUUUUAGAAUGUCUUUGAUGUUAUAGAAUGUUAUUGAUCUUUUAGAAUGUCUUUGAUGUUACGGAAUGUUCGGUGAUAUUCUAGAAUGUUCUACAUCCUCCAGAGCGUCACCACCACAGACUGUAUUUACUCAUUCAGAGGGAGAGUCUCUGUGAUGACGCUCGGCUCAAACAGCGUAUCCCCCGGUGAUCUACUCAAUCUCUGUCCUCCCAUUGGCUGUAUCAGGUGUCAAUCAUAGAAAACAUGAACCCCCUAAUAACUUUUAAAAAUGGAGCUGUACAGAAAAAAGAGGACUUGAGCACAAACCAGUCUGACAGUAACUACAUGUCAACAUCACAACCAGGGGGGAGAAACAUUUAUAUUCUGUGUCAUUCAUUUAUAAAGUUUGUCCACAGCUCCAUAAGGAGGCGGGGUUUAGGACCUAUACUGCA
rnacentral:lncRNA from 1 species